rnacentral:rRNA from 1 species
ACGGAAGGCAGCAGUGGGGAAUAUUGGGCAAUGGGCGAAAGCCUGACCCAGCAACGCCGCGUGAAGGAAGAAGGUCUUCGGAUUGUAAACUUCUUUUAUGUGGGACGAAGAAAGUGACGGUACCACAUGAAUAAGCCACGGCUAACUACGUGCCAGCAGCCGCGGUAAUACGUAGGUGGCAAGCGUUAUCCGGAUUUACUGGGUGUAAAGGGCGCGUAGGCGGGAUGGCAAGUCAGAUGUGAAAUCUAUGGGCUCAACCCAUAAACUGCACUUGAAACUGCCAUUCUUGAGUGUCGGAGAGGUAGAUGGAAUUCCUAGUGUAGCGGUGAAAUGCGUAGAUAUUAGGAGGAACACCAGUGGCGAAGGCGAUCUACUGGACGAUAACUGACGCUGAGGCGCGAAAGCGUGGGGAGCAAACAGGAUUAGAUACCCUGGUA